UUCUACACCAUUCAACGCCUCCGCGUUCCCCAACCACCGCUCUAGCCUCUCCCUUCUUCUCCAGAUCUACACUCCAAGGUUUGUUCUCUGUGUAUAUCACCAUCAGAUUCGAUCAUAUCGUUUCGAGAUCUACGUAUUGAUGGUGGUUUUGAGCUCCGAAGCUCUCGUAUUCAGCUCAACGCUUUCAGCUGGUGUUCUUCAUGCUUUGAUAUAGAGAUUCUCAGCUAUGGUGAAGGAGCCUAUUUCCAACCCAGAGAGAUAUCAGGCGUUGGAGCUUCUGUUGUGGAUGCGAUGUCGUUUUCGAUCCAGAUCUGAUGUUUCCGGAGGCUAAAGGACGCUGGAGUUGAUGGAAAUCGGUUAUUUUGGUGUGCGUAAUUGUAAAUACAUGAUUGGGAAGAUAGCGAGGAGAUUUAUGUGUGGUAGUGUUGAUAUGGAUGUAUAAGAUAUCGGCUAGGAUCGACUCAGUUGAUGGGUCAGAGUCCUGGACCGAUCUUUGUCAUCCGGCCUUUGCCAUGGCAGGUGCGCUUGCAUGGCAGGUCAAAAAAAGAUUAAUAAAAACGAAAGAUUUGUUGGUUCAGAGGGGAAGACAGCAUGGGAGUUUGUUUUCUUUGGCCCAGGGUCUUCCCCUCUGUGUGUGCUCUGUGUCCUGCUUGCUUUCUUUACUCUGCUUUAUAUUUGCCCGCCUGCAAAUCAUAACCAGAUCUAUCUCCUAUUCUGGGCCUUCUGCAACAGCAAUAUCCGUCACCACCAAAGGUAUUAUGCACCUAAUUCUCUACUCUAAUGCAUAUCUGCCCAGUUACAUAGCAAAUUCUCCAUAAUGUUCAAUUAAUCUCAUUCUCAAGUUAAAUGCCGAACAGGAUAUACAAAUUCAACAGUCUUGGUGCUUAUUUUACCUGUUUAUACGAGUUAAACUAGUCUUCAUGCUCAUAUACAAGUUCAACUAAUCUUUUUAAAGACAUUGAAACUAGUGUUUUGGCAUACCAUAUAUACAUGUGAACUUAGAAUAGUCCUGCAUGAUUACAGUUUGCUAUAAAGGAAUUCUGCAAUCCACCUACCGGUCUUUGAGGUAAAGCUGUUUAAUUAUUGUGUUCCAUUGGCCUUCCUAUUUUUAAUAUCAACUCUCAUUCCGAGCUCAAAGUACAUGUGUUAUUUAUGAAUUGUGCCUAUUUUUAUUAUCAACUCUUAUUCCGAGCUCAUGGUACAUUUGUUAUUUAUGAAUUAUUUUUUGAGUCCCAAAUACGAUGGUAAUGCACAAUCGUGCCUCUGCCUUUUGCAAGUUGAUAACAUGCUAUGAAUAAAUUCUGCCCUUUGGAAGUUAUGUAUAAUUGAAGUGAAUCUGUGAAGCCUUGAUGGCAUGGUCAAUUCCAAUUCUGUAUGUCAUUGCACGGCUACAAGUGUAGUAGCUGUACCGGUUAUAAAGGAGUACGGUAUCUCUUGGGCAGUUUAUAUUGCUCAUGUAUUAUCACAAGUUCCCACAUCGUUUUAUUUUGGCAAUUAUGAAGAGAGUAUCAUUUGGAAGUGAUUACAAUUUUGUAUAAUUAAUAUUCGUCUACAGAACUCUUAAGUUUGUUAAUUGAUGUACGGGUUUAUUUUA